rfam:Halomicronema hongdechloris C2206 genome.
ACUCCAUAGCUUGGUAAGCCGGAGACAGCAGGUUGCCUGCGCAUAAACCCUGCCGAGGUAGAUGCCCUAGCCAUUGCGAUCGCACAUUGAUAGCGUGCGGCCGCCGCUUACUUUCAGGGCCUGUCCUCCGGUAUUUCCCGGAGGUUUUUUAAUGGCUGG